rnacentral:rRNA from 1 species
ACGUAGGUUCCGAGCGUUAUCCGGAUUUACUGGGCGUAAAGCGCGUUCAGGCGGUUUGGCAAGUCGGGCAUGAAAUCUCUCGGCUCAACCGGGAGAGGUUGUCCGAUACUGCUGGACUUGAGGGCAGUAGAGGGUGGUGGAAUUCCGGGUGUAGUGGUGAAAUGCGUAGAUAUCCGGAGGAACACCAGUGGCGAAGGCGACUUCCUGGCCUGUUCUUGACGCUGAGGCGCGAAAGCUAGGGUAGCAAACGGG